AUGGGCCCGGGGGCACAAGGUCGUGGCACUUGGCAAAGACCCUGUGGGGCAAAGCAAUCAGCACGCCUCAGCCCGGCCCCAGGGAGCUGCCUGUGUGGGGGCAGGCGGGGGCGCCCCAGGGCCUGCAGCACCCGAAGGGAGGACUCACUGGCUCAGCAUCAGAUCACAGAGCGGCUGCGGCGGGCACGGGCUGGGGGUGGGUGCACUAGACACCGGGGCCGGGGGACUGGCAGUGGGGGGCGUGCCGGUCGGGGCCCAGCAGCCGUCCUUUCUGCUGUCAGGGACCAACCAAGUCUUGGCCAUGUCCUUACAGCUGGUGGCAGUGGUUCCGUCCCGCUGGAGACAGUCGUCCCUCUGGUUGUUGGUGCAGGUGCCUGCGGGCAGGGUGUCACUGCGGGGCUGGAAUCCAGGGAGCCUUUCACAGCCCCCACCUGCCUCCCCCACUCAUUCCCCUCCCUGGGCUUCCCCUAUGCUCACUGGGUCAUCAGGCCCAGCAGCAGCCCUGGCCAGGGCAGGACCCGCCGCCCACUCACCGCACUGGCCCUCGGUGUUGUUGUGGAAGAGGCUGUAGGGCAGCCGGGCCUGGAAGAUGUGGCCAUCGAAAGUGACGCUCACACCCAGGGCAGGAAUGUCCACGCGCAUGGUGGUGGUCCCCGUCACAGACACAAGCACGCCGUUCUUGCUGAAACCGCUGCUCACCGGAAUUUGGUCAAACAGGAUCUGGGGGAAUCCGGGGGAACCUUGAGCUGGGAGGCAAUGCCAGGUGGGCUCGGGGAGUGGGGUUUGCCUUUGGGGCUCUGCCUCGACGUGCAGAGACCCCCCUGUAUAUCCCUCACCCCAAAGCCCAGAUCUUCCCUGAGGGCCUGGGGUCUCCAGUCGACUGCAUUUAGGCCACAAGGUGUGCUCGGCCUAAGGCGGCCCCACAGGCCUUCCCUGCCCCCUGGGAGCUGUCUCGGGCACAGGGCCAUCGCUGCGGCACGUGGGUCACCCGGCCUGCAGUCGGCCUGCCCAGGUGUGGUUGGGACUGGGCCAAUACCGUGCCGCCCGCCAUCUGGACUCACCAGGUCCUCCUCCCUCCCAUGCACCGUGGUGACGGUGAGGACGAUAUCCAUGGACUUGUAG
rnacentral:lncRNA from 1 species